rnacentral:rRNA from 2 species
CGGUGCGCGUCCUAUACAUGCAGUCGAGCGGAUCGAUGGGAGCUUGCUCCCUGAGAUCAGCGGCGGACGGGUGAGUAACACGUGGGUAACCUGCCUGUAAGACUGGGAUAACUCCGGGAAACCGGGGCUAAUACCGGAUAACUCAGUUCCUCGCAUGAGGAACGGUUGAAAGGUGGCUUUUAGCUACCACUUACAGAUGGACCCGCGGCGCAUUAGCUAGUUGGUGAGGUAACGGCUCACCAAGGCGACGAUGCGUAGCCGACCUGAGAGGGUGAUCGGCCACACUGGGACUGAGACACGGCCCAGACUCCUACGGGAGGCAGCAGUAGGGAAUCUUCCGCAAUGGACGAAAGUCUGACGGAGCAACGCCGCGUGAGUGAAGAAGGUUUUCGGAUCGUAAAACUCUGUUGUUAGGGAAGAACAAGUGCCGUUCGAAUAGGGCGGCACCUUGACGGUACCUAACCAGAAAGCCACGGCUAACUACGUGCCAGCAGCCGCGGUAAUACGUAGGUGGCAAGCGUUGUCCGGAAUUAUUGGGCGUAAAGCGCGCGCAGGUGGUUUCUUAAGUCUGAUGUGAAAGCCCACGGCUCAACCGUGGAGGGUCAUUGGAAACUGGGGAACUUGAGUGCAGAAGAGGAAAGUGGAAUUCC